UACGGAGGGUGCAAGCGUUAUCCGGAUUCACUGGGUUUAAAGGGUGCGUAGGUGGGUCUGUAAGUCAGUGGUGAAAUCUCCGUGCUUAACAUGGAAACUGCCAUUGAUACUAUAGGUCUUGAAUUUUCUGGAGGUCAGCGGAAUAUGUCAUGUAGCGGUGAAAUGCUUAGAUAUGACAUAGAACACCGAUUGCGAAGGCAGCUGACUACGGGAAUAUUGACACUGAGGCACGAAAGCGUGGGGAUCAAACAGG
rnacentral:rRNA from 1 species